rnacentral:lncRNA from 1 species
GUAGUACAAAACUAAAAAGUUGCUUAAAUGCAAAAUUAUGAAAUGUAUGCCCGCAUUUUACUGGUGGGCGACCUAGAACUGAAAUGUGUUCCCGCAUUUUACUGGUGGGCGACCUAGAACUGAAAUGUAUUCCCGCAUUUUACUGGUGGGCGACCUAGAACUGAAAUGUAUUCCCGCAUUAUACUGGUGGGCGACGUAGAACUGAAAUGUAUUCCCGCAUUAUACUGGUGAGAGACCUAGAACUGAAAUGUAUUCCCGCAUUAUACUGGUGGGCGACCUAGAACUGAAAUGUAUUCCCGCAUUAUACUGGUGGGCGACCUAGAACUGAAAUGUAUUCCCGUAUUUUACUGGUGGGCGACGUAGAACAGAAAGUAUUCCCGCAUUUUACUGGUGGGCGACCAAGAACAGAAAGUAUUCCCGCAUUUCACUGGUGGGCGAUCUAGAACUGAAAUGUAUUCCCGCAUUAUACUGGUAGGCGACCUAGAACUGAAAUGUAUUCCCGCAUUAUACUGGUGGGCGACCUAGAACUGAAAUGUAUUCCCGCAUUAUACUGGUGGGCGACCUAGAACUGAAAUGUAUUCCCGCAUUUUACUGGUGGGCGACCUAGAACAGAAAGUAUUCCCGCAUUUUA